AUUGAACGCUGGCGGCAGGCCUAACACAUGCAAGUCGAACGGUAACAGGAAGAAGCUUGCUUCUUUGCUGACGAGUGGCGGACGGGUGAGUAAUGUCUGGGAAACUGCCUGAUGGAGGGGGAUAACUACUGGAAACGGUAGCUAAUACCGCAUAACGUCGCAAGACCAAAAAGGGGGACCUUCGGGCCUCUUGCCAUCGGAUGUGCCCAGAUGGGAUUAGCUAGUAGGUGGGGUAACGGCUCACCUAGGCGACGAUCCCUAGCUGGUCUGAGAGGAUGACCAGCCACACUGGAACUGAGACACGGUCCAGACUCCUACGGGAGGCAGCAGUGGGGAAUAUUGCACAAUGGGCGCAAGCCUGAUGCAGCCAUGCCGCGUGUAUGAAGAAGGCCUUCGGGUUGUAAAGUACUUUCAGCGGGGAGGAAGGGAGUAAAGUUAAUACCUUUGCUCAUUGACGUUACCCGCAGAAGAAGCACCGGCUAACUCCGUGCCAGCAGCCGCGGUAAUACGGAGGGUGCAAGCGUUAAUCGGAAUUACUGGGCGUAAAGCGCACGCAGGCGGUUUGUUAAGUCAGAUGUGAAAUCCCCGGGCUCAACCUGGGAACUGCAUCUGAUACUGGCAAGCUUGAGUCUCGUAGAGGGGGGUAGAAUUCCGGGUGUAGCGGUGAAAUGCGUAGAGAUCUGGAGGAAUACCGGUGGCGAAG
rnacentral:rRNA from 1 species